ACGGUAAAGACGACAUAACGAUUAGCUUAGUUUGUUACAACAAAGAGAUUAAAAACAUAAAAUAGGCCGGAAAAUUCAAAAGUUCAAAAACUACACAAGGCCCAAGCCCAACUUCAACAACAGAGAAAGAAACAUACCCGACCUGACUUCACCAAAAAACUCGACGAAUGAAGCAAUCGCUUAACGAUCAGCGUAUACAGAGUUCUGAUCAACAAUGGCCGCCACAACGUCCUUGGAUUCCUUCAGAAGCUUGAGACUAUUCUUCAGCUUCUCCCUCUUGCUCGCCACCGACGGUGAUUCCUCCAGCAUCCUAUCUAUUCCUCCGCCAGCUCUUGGAUCCACCAUCUCCGCCACAAUCUCCUUCUGAAACUGACUGUUGACCAGAUUCUUCACAGAGAAUUGAAGGUAGAGAGCAAGGUUAUCGACAACCCUUCGCAAUACGAUCGUCCAGUAAGAUGUGAUCCUCAUCUUCAUAUCAAACGCUUGUUGCAGCAAAUGAGCGUGAUACUUUCGCAGAUGCGAGAUCUUCACAUCCCCGAAUCCAGGUAAAGCAAAAUUCUCAGGUUUAUUCUCAUCGUGCAACACAGAAUUGAUGAAGUUUUGCUGUGAGGUUGUCUUCUGAGUCCAAGAAGUCAUGUAAUCUGGGUUACAUGUGUAAUCGGUAAGCUUCUCCAUCUCAACGAUCUCAAUUACUCAGUUCACGGAACGUUCCUUAGUCCUGCUCAUUAGAUUACGACCAGCCCUUUUGAUGGAGGAUUGAAUCUGGGGAAAGUUGUCAGAAUAUGUCGUAAUGACUGAUGACAGAACGACUUCAAUGUAGUCCCAUAUCUCCUUGAUGAACUCAACUGGCUUGUCUUGUAUCCCAUCCACAUGUUGUGAAAGGAUUGCUAAGAAAGAAGAUCUUGGUAUAAAAUUAGGCAAUCCGAUACAUUUGCGCUCUUCUAAGACUUUGAUUUCAUCCAUCAAGAACUCUUCUGUCACGGCUUGAGGCUGUGCCUGCAGAUUGUCUGAGAAUCGGUUUAACAUUUCAGCCAAGCGAGCUGUGCAAUGCAUCUUUUGAUCGUUAGGGUAUUCAGAGAAAUCUCCAUGGACAAGGAUUCUUAGUAGAGACUCCUUGGCAGAACCAAUGAUAUCCAUUAGAGACAUUAAUGCUUCCCCAGUAGAAGCCAUGACUAUUGGGAGCUUGUUAAACUCCAGGACACUGAUUUCCAUCUUCACAUUUAUCUUCCUUUCGAUUUCCGGCAAACACCUAGAUAUCAUCAUUCCCUGGAUCUGCGUCAGCUUCUGAGCUAAGACGGGGAUACCCACAAUCUCAUCAUUGAUCAUUGAAAGCAUCGGGUGGGUCCUGAAAAGUAACUCUUCUUGCAUUCGAGCUUCUUCAUAGGUUUCCUCCCCUAUCCGGUUUCUAACACAGACAUAACCAAGUCCGAUACUCACAUCAUCUGCAGUUACUUUCUGGAGAAGCCCUUCAGGAGCCAUGUCAGCCUUUGUGACUACAGCCAGAGUCCGCUCACCGGUUUUGUCCACCUGUUUAGACAUUCUGAUGGAUUCACAAGUAGUGAAAUCAACUGUCGCUGACAGAACAUUGAGCUGUCCGUUCACAGGAACACGGGUUAUUCCAGGGAGAUCAACCAUAGUAAUAUCUGGAACACCAGCCUUCUUCACAUGGAGCGUAAGGGGUGUGUCUGAAACCCCUUUGCCAGAUCCUGCAACACAGUAUUCACAAGUACUAAUCAAAAUCAAGACUUCAACUGAGGCUUGGAAGCUUAAACCAAACAUAUUUAACAGUAUGGAAGGAAUAGAGGCAAAACAUACCAGCUAUCACGUCUGUAGCUGCACAAAUAGUUUGAGCAAUGUGUUCCUCAUCUGUAGGAACAAUUUUGUCACCGUACUCCAGCCAGAUCUCAGGUUCAGGGCUUCGACUUCUCUGGAGCCUCAUGACAAGAGGAACUCUAGUGCAGAUUCCUUGCCCACGUGGCAAACUGAUUCCUGCCAACGACUCGAGGACACUCGACUUCCCCGAGGACUGGUCUCCAACCACAACAAUGGUAGGAAGCUGAAUCCCUUCUUGCAUCACAUUCAAGUUCCUGAGCUUGUCCACAGUGUCAAGCAACGGCCUGAUGUGGUCAUUGUAAGAUGAUACAAUUGGUGCUUCUGUGGGAACAACAUCUUUGUGGGGGUGAGGAUUCGCCUGGACAAUUGCCAGAGAAGGAGUGGUACUAGUGACAUCAUGCUUGUUACUACGUCCCAUUUUGUUGCUUGAGGAGACAAUACAAGAGUAGAAUAGAAUGAGAUAGAGAAUAGAAGUAAGUGAGAUAAGCGUAGUUGAGAUUUAUCAAAGAGAUAUGCAAAUAUAUAUACUGAGAUAUUUGAAGGGCUUUGUGUUUAUGAGCACUAUACUACAGAAGCAGACGUUUGACAUGAAAUGACGUAAGUAAAAAGCAUAUUGGAACUGAACAAAGCUAAUUAAUUAAGUUCAUGAUUACACCUAUUACCUAUAGAUAUUAG
rnacentral:lncRNA from 1 species